UGGGGGAUAUUGCACAAUGGGCGAAAGCCUGAUGCAGCGACGCCGCGUGGGGGAUGAAGGCUUUCGGGUUGUAAACCUCUUUCGCUAUCGAACAAGGCCCGCUUAGGGUGGGUUGAGGGGAGGUGGAGAAGAAGCGCCGGCUAACUACGUGCCAGCAGGCGCGGUAAUACGUAGGGCGCGAGCGUUGUCCGGAAUUAUUGGGCGUAAAGGGCUUGUAGGCGGCUUGUUGCGCCUGCUGUGAAAACGCGGGGCUUAACUUCUCGCGUGCAGUGGGUACGGGCAGGCUUGAGUAUGGUAGGGGUGACUGGAAUUCCAGGUGUAGCGGUGGAAUGCGCAGAUAUCUGGAGGAACACCGAUGGCGAAGGCAGGUCACUGGGCCAUUACUGACGCUGAGGAGCGAAAGCAUGGGUAGCGAACAGG
rnacentral:rRNA from 1 species